rnacentral:rRNA from 1 species
GAUGAACGCUGGCGGCGUGCCUAAUAUAUGCAAGUCGAGCGAACGGACGAGAAGCUUGCUUCUCUGAUGUUAGCGGCGGACGGGUGAGUAACACGUGGAUAACCUACCUAUAAGACUGGGAUAACUUCGGGAAACCGGAGCUAAUACCGGAUGAUAUUUUGAACCGCAUGGUUCAAAAGUGAAAGACGGUCUUGCUGUCACUUAUAGAUGGAUCCGCGCUGCAUUAGCUAGUUGGUAAGGUAACGGCUUACCAAGGCAACGAUGCAUAGCCGACCUGAGAGGGUGCUAGGCCACACUGGAACUGAGACACGGUCCAGACUCCUACGGGAGGCAGCAGUAGGGAAUCUUCCGCAAUGGGCGAAAGCCUGACGGAGCAACGCCGCGUGAGUGAUGAUGGUCUUCAGAUCGUAAACCUCUGUUAUUAGGGAAGACCAUAUGUGUAAGUAACUGUGCACAUCUUGACGGUACCUAAUCAGAAAGCCACGGCUAACUACGUG